rnacentral:rRNA from 1 species
AGCAGCCGCGGUAAUUCCAGCUCCAAUAGCGUAUAUUAAAGUUGUUGCAGUUAAAAAGCUCGUAGUUGAAUUUCGGGAUUCUACCGUCGGUCGGACUACCAAGUCUGUACUGGUGUGUAGAAUUCCUACCUUCUGGGGAACCAUCAUGUUAUUAAUUUAGCGUGGUGGGAAACCAGGACCUUUACCUUAGAAAAAUUAGAGUGUUCAAAACAGGCUUAUGUCUGACUACAUUAGCAUGGAAUAAUAGAAUAGGACGGUGGUCCUGUUUUGUUGGUUUCUGAAUCACCGUAAUGAUUAAUAGGGAUAGUUGGGGGCAUUAGUAUUCAAUUGUCAGAGGUGAAAUUCUUGGAUUUAUUGAAGACUAACUUCUGCGAAAGCAUUUGCCAAGGAUGUUUUCAUUAAUCAAGAACGAAAGUUAGGGAUCGAAGACGAUCAGAUACCGUCGUAGUCUUAAUCAUAAACUAUGCCGACUA